AUUUCCCUAGUACAUUUAUAACUAAGUAAAAAAUAUAUAUAACUGUCCCCACUGCUACAACAAAUACUUAAAUACAUAUAAUUUGGUCCUUAACGUUUAAUUGAAAUACUGUAGAAUUCCAUUCAUUACUAUGGAUGACUGCUUUUUCUGGGCACUGCCAAUAUGGCCGCACAGUGGCUUCAAAGUCUCUCAUUGGCCAACACAUAGCAUCAGCAAUCCAGGGUGUAUAAACAUCUAAACUCAGCAAAAAAAGAAACUCCUCUAUUUCAGGACCCUGUCUUUCAAAGAUAAUUCUUAAAAAUCCAAGUAACUUCACAGAUAUUUGUUGUAAAGGGUUUAAAUACUGUUUCCCAACAAUGAAUGAACAUGCACCUGUGGAACGGUCGUUAAGACACUAACAGCUUACAGACGGUAAGGUCACAGUUAUGAAAACUUAGGACACUAAAGAAGCUUAUCUACUGACUCUGAAAUAUGACCAGGGUCCCUGCUCAUGUGCGUGAAUGUGCCUUAGGCAUGCUGCAAGGAGGCAUGAGGACUGCAGAUGUGGUCAGGGCAAUAAAGUGCAAUGUCCGUAUAGUGAGACGCCUAAGACAGCGCUACAGGACGGACAGUUGAUCGUCCUCGCGGUGGCAGACCACAUGUAACAACACCUGCGCAGGAUCAGUACAUCCGAACAUCACACCUGCCAGACAGGUACAGGAUGGCAACAACAACUGCCUGAGUUACACCAGGAAAGCACAAUCCCUCCAUCAGUGCUCAGACUGUCUGCAAUAGGCUGAGAGAGGCUGGACUGAGGGCUUGUAGGCCUGUUGUACGGCAGGUCCUCACCAGACAUCACCGGGAACAACGUUGCCUAUGGGCACAAAUCCACCAUCAUUGGACCAGACAGGACUGGACAAGAAGUGCUCGUCACUGACGAGUCAUGGUUUUGUCUCACCGGGGGGAUGGUCGGAUUAGCUUUUAUCAUCGACGGAAUGAGUGUUACACCGAGGCCUGUUCUCUGGAGUGGGAUCGAUUUUGCAGGUGGAAGGUCUGUUAUGGUCUGGAGUGGUAUGUCACAGCAUCAUUGAACUGAGCUUGUUGUCAUUCCCUGCAAUCUCAAAGCUGUGCGUUACAGGGAAGACAUCCUCCCUCAUGUGGUACCCUUCCUGCAGGCUCAUCCUGACAUGACCCUCCAGCAUGCUUUGAGAUGUUAAGUUUGCUGAAAAUAAACGCAGUUGACAGUGAGAAGACGUUUCUUUUUUUGCUGAGAUUAGUACUUAAUUUGUAAAUUGGGAGGUGCCGGUGUUGUGCUGAAAAGUUCCCUCCUGCCAGAAUCCCCCCUCCCCCUCGUGUGAACGCGCACGCACUCAAUUCUUCAUUGCUGUUACUUGCUAGUUGGGAUUUCUGAUCAAGUUAGGCUGUUUCACUUUAUUUUUUUAUGUCUGUAUGAUUGCGGGGGAGGCACUAGUAAUGUCUGCGGUUUUUGGUUUGGCUAUUUGUUUCAAGUGUAUUAGUCUAUAAUUAAAUCUCUACCAAAAUUC
ensembl:lncRNA